UACGGGGGGGGCAAGCGUUGUUCGGAAUUACUGGGCGUAAAGGGUUUGUAGGUGGCUUGCUAAGUCAGACGUGAAAUCCCUCAGCUUAACUGGGGAACUGCGUCUGAUACUGGCGAGCUUGAGUGCAGGAGAGGAACGCGGAAUUCCAGGUGUAGCGGUGAAAUGCGUAGAUAUCUGGAGGAACACCGGUGGCGAAGGCGGCGUUCUGGACUGCAACUGACACUGAAAACGAAAGCCAGGGAGCAAACGGG
rnacentral:rRNA from 1 species